rnacentral:rRNA from 1 species
UUCUGACCGUAAACGAUGCCAACUAGCGAUUCGCCGGUGGAUUUUUCGCCCUGGUGAGUAGCUUCCCGGAAACGAAAGUCUUCCGGUUCCGGGGGAAGUAUGGUUGCAAAGCUGAAACUUAAAGGAAUUGACGGAAGGGCACCACCAGGAGUGGAGCCUGCGGCUUAAUUUGACUCAACACGGGGAAACUCACCCGGCCCGGACACCGUGAGGAUUGACAGAUUGAUAGCUCUUUCAUGAUUCGGUGGUUGGUGGUGCAUGGCCGUUCUUAGUUCGUGGAUCGAUUUGUCUGGUUUAUUCCGAUAACGAGCGAGACUCUAGCCUACUAAAUAGUAACGAGAUUACUAUUGUCUCGGUUGCUUCUUAGAGGGAUUUUCGGUGUUUAGCCGCACGAGAUUGAGCAAUAACAGGUCUGUGAUGCCCUUAGAUGUCCGGGGCUGCACGCGCGCUACACUGGCGAAAUCAGCGUGCAGCAUCCAUUCUCGAAAGGGAUUGGUAAACCCAUGAAAAUUUGCCGUGCUUGGGAUCGGAAAUUGCAAUUAUUUUCCGUGAACGAGGAAUUCCAAGUAAGUGCGAGUCAUCAACUCGCUCUG